CCUACGGGAGGCAGCAGUGGGGAAUAUUGCACAAUGGACGCAAGCCUGAUGCAGCCAUGCCGCGUGUAUGAAGAAGGCCUUCGGGUUGUAAAGUACUUUCAGCGGGGAGGAAGGCGAUGCGGUCAAUAACCGCGUCGAUUGACGUUACCCGCAGAAGAAGCACCGGCUAACUCCGUGCCAGCAGCCGCGGUAAUA
rnacentral:rRNA from 1 species